rnacentral:rRNA from 1 species
GGCUCAGGAUGAACGCUGGCGGCGUGCCUAAUACAUGCAAGUCGAACGAGGGUAGUAAUACCCUAGUGGCGAACGGGUGAGUAACACGUAGGUAACCUGCCUUUUAGCUUGGGAUACCCGAAGGAAACUUUGGCUAAUACCGGAUAAUAACAACCGAGGCAUCUCGGAUGUUUGAAAGGAGCUCUAAAGCUUCACUAAAAGAUGGACCUGCGGCGCAUUAGCUAGUUGGUGAGAUAACAGCCCACCAAGGCGAGGAUGCGUAGCCGAACUGAGAGGUUGAACGGCCACAUUGGAACUGAGACACGGUCCAAACUCCUACGGGAGGCAGCAGUAAGGAAUAUUGGUCAAUGGGCGGAAGCCUGAACCAGCCCAUGCCGCGUGCAGGAUGACGGCCCUACGGGUUGUAAACUGCUUUUCCCCGGGAAGAAUAAGCCCCUCGUGAGGGGUGAUGCCGGUACCGGGGGAAUAAGGAUCGGCUAACUCCGUGCCAGCAGCGGC